rnacentral:rRNA from 1 species
CGAAAGCCUGACGGAGCAACGCCGCGUGUGGGAAGAAGGCCUUUGGGCUGUCAACCACUUUUCUCAGGGAAGAAGUUCUGACGGUACCUGAGGAAUCAGCCUCGGCUAACUCCGUGCCAGCAGCCGCGGUAAUACGGAGGAGGCAAGCGUUAUUCGGAAUUAUUGGGCGUAAAGCGUCCGCAGGUGGCGAUUCAAGUCUGCUGUCAAAGCACGGGGCUUAACUCCGUUAAGGCAGUGGAAACUGAAUGGCUAGAGUGCCGUAGGGGUAGAGGGAAUUCCCAGUGUAGCGGUGAAAUGCGUAGAGAUUGGGAAGAACACCGGUGGCGAAAGCGCUCUACUGGGUCGCACCUGACCCUCAGGGACGAAAGCUAAGGUAGCG